CCUAACACAUGCAAGUCGAACGGUAACAGGAAGCAGCUUGCUGCUUCGCUGACGAGUGGCGGACGGGUGAGUAAUGUCUGGGAAACUGCCUGAUGGAGGGGGAUAACUACUGGAAACGGUAGCUAAUACCGCAUAACGUCGCAAGACCAAAGAGGGGGACCUUCGGGCCUCUUGCCAUCGGAUGUGCCCAGAUGGGAUUAGCUAGUAGGUGGGGUAACGGCUCACCUAGGCGACGAUCCCUAGCUGGUCUGAGAGGAUGACCAGCCACACUGGAACUGAGACACGGUCCAGACUCCUACGGGAG
rnacentral:rRNA from 1 species